GAUUGUCCCCCUGUACCAGGCACUGGUGAGGCCGCACCUUGAAUCCUGUGAUCAAUUCUGGGCCUCUCACUCCAAGAAAGACAUUAAGGUGCUGGAGCGGGGCCUGGACCACAAGUGUGA